rnacentral:rRNA from 1 species
UACGUAGGAGGCGAGCGUUGUCCGGAGUCACUGGGCGUAAAGCGCGCGCAGGCGGUCCCGCGCGCCGCGUCUGAAAGCCCCCGGCUCAACCGGGGCGGGCGGCGCGGGACGGCGGGACUGGAGGGUGGCAGAGGUCGGUGGAAUUCCCGGUGUAGUGGUGAAAUGCGUAGAUAUCGGGAGGAACACCCGUGGCGAAGGCGGCCGGCUGGGCCACACCUGACGCUGAGGCGCGAAGGCCGGGGGAGCGAACGGG